GGGUCGUUAGCUCAGUUGGUAGAGCAGUUGACUUUUAAUCAAUUGGUCGCCGGUUCGAUUCCUGCACGACCCACCA
rnacentral:tRNA from 2 species